rnacentral:rRNA from 1 species
UACACUCCUACGGGAGGCAGCAGUGGGGAAUAUUGGACAAUGGGCGCAAGCCUGAUCCAGCCAUGCCGCGUGAGUGAUGAAGGCCCUAGGGUUGUAAAGCUCUUUCACCGGUGAAGAUAAUGACGGUAACCGGAGAAGAAGCCCCGGCUAACUUCGUGCCAGCAGCCGCGGUAAUACGAAGGGGGCUAGCGUUGUUCGGAUUUACUGGGCGUAAAGCGCACGUAGGCGGACUAUUAAGUCAGGGGUGAAAUCCCGGGGCUCAACCCCGGAACUGCCUUUGAUACUGGUAGUCUUGAGUUCGAGAGAGGUGAGUGGAAUUCCGAGUGUAGAGGUGAAAUUAGUAGAUAUUCGGAGGAACACCAGUGGCGAAGGCGGCUCACUGGCUCGAUACUGACGCUGAGGUGCGAAAGCGUGGGGAGCAAACAGGAUUAGAAACCCCUGUAGUCCCAUGA